UACCAUUCUCUUAAAAAAAAUUGAGCCUUUAUCCAAUUCUUUGCACUCUUAUUUGUUUCUAUUUAACAAACGUUUGCAUGUUUUUAACUGAUAAAUAUCAUUGUUUUAAACAAAUAAUUUUUUUCAUAAAUAAACUGUUUUAAACAAAGUGAACAUUCACAAUGACUGAAAAGAUAAGUGGAAUGUCCUCAGUGCUUUCCCAAGGAUAGUAUGACCACCAAAGGGUAAAACAUU
rnacentral:lncRNA from 1 species